rnacentral:lncRNA from 1 species
CACUGUGCAAUGAACCGUGAAAAUGAGGUCACGGUCAAAUAAAAUCUGCGCGACUGACAUAAAGAUCAUAAAAUAUUUCCAUACACCAAAUAUAGAUGAUUUAUGGCAUAUAGUAUUAGAUAAAAAGACCAAAACUCAAAAACUUAACUUUGACCACUGAACCAUGAAAAUGAGGUCAAGGUCACAUGACAUCUGCCCGCUAGAUAGGUACACCUUACAAUCAUUCCAUACAACAAAU